rnacentral:rRNA from 1 species
GGGUCAGUAGGUUGGUCGUGCCACCGGUACGUACUGGUCUCACUGAUUCCUCCUUCCUGAAGAACCGUAAUGCCAUUAAUUUGGUGUUGCGGGGAAACAGGACUGUUACUUUGAAAAAAUUAGAGUGUUUAAAGCAAGCUAACGCUUGAAUACAUUAGCAUGGAAUAAUGAAACAGGACGAUCGAUCCUAUUUUGUUGGUUUCUAGGAUUGACGUG